CCAUUCACACUGGGGGCUGACGAGGUAUAAGCGUAGUCCGUUUCGCUACGAAGUCGGGUAUAUGUUUUUCUACGAAAACAUUGUGUACAUACACAUGACAUCGAAGAACGGAUUAGUGGAAAUUUGUGUUUAAAACAGAGUCAUGGAGUGGCUGGAUGUUUCCUUUGAGGAAGAGAUAGUAACAACGACACAACAUGAUCCGAAGCGCACAGUCGACAUGGUCCGGUCUCACUAUGAUGCCGGCGGAGCCCCGGUGCGUGAUCAGGCAUCUACCGGGAUGAACCGGGGCCAUACCGGGAUGAACCGGUGCUCCACCGGGAUGAACCGUAGACGACCGGGGACAACCGGGGCUCCACCGGUAAAAUAUUAAAAUGUUUAAUACCUCCGAGAUGAACCGCGAGUCACCGGGAAGGACCGACACCGACCGGCGUGGCACU